rnacentral:rRNA from 1 species
AUUGAACGCUGGCGGCAGGCUUAACACAUGCAAGUCGAGCGGAGAUGAGGUGCUUGCACCUUAUCUUAGCGGCGGACGGGUGAGUAAUGCUUAGGAAUCUGCCUAUUAGUGGGGGACAACAUUCCGAAAGGAAUGCUAAUACCGCAUACGCCCUACGGGGGAAAGCAGGGGAACUUCGGACCUUGCGCUAAUAGAUGAGCCUAAGUCGGAUUAGCUAGUUGGUGGGGUAAAGGCUUACCAAGGCGACGAUCUGUAGCGGGUCUGAGAGGAUGAUCCGCCACACUGGGACUGAGACACGGCCCAGACUCCUACGGGAGGCAGCAGUGGGGAAUAUUGGACAAUGGGCGGAAGCCUGAUCCAGCCAUGCCGCGUGUGUGAAGAAGGCCUUUUGGUUGUAAAGCACUUUAAGCGAGGAGGAGGCUACCUGGAUUAAUACUCUAGGAUAGUGGACGUUACUCGCAGAAUAAGCACCGGCUAACUCUGUGCCAGCAGCCGCCGUAAUAC